rnacentral:sRNA from 1 species
CUCCCUGCUGACACCGAUGCGGCGGAA